UAUCCCUGUGUGGCGCGUGUCGGUUCUCAGUUGUUUCUCUCUUCGGGUGGCUAUAUUGCUCCGCACCCACACCCGGAUUCGUUUUUUAAGAACAAUCUUACAAUCUGUUUUCACCCACACGAUUUUUAAUUAUUUUUUGGGUGGUGGUCGGCGGCCCAGUAAUCAUUUUGUAUCAGAGAGAGAAGGGAAGGGGAGGAGAGGCGGAGGCGGUGGCGGUGGAGGGGGGUCACCGCCGUCCGGGAGUAGCAGCAAGGGGUUAGCUGGAGGUCAUGGAGCGCGGGAAGCUGCCGCAGCACAGCCCUGUGAAGGGGAGCCGCUGUCAUGGAGGAGCAGGGGGAAGGAGAGAGGGAGGUACUGAGAGGAGGGCGGCGAAGAUUUUUUGCUGGUCCCGCCACCAGCAGGGUUUCGCCGGUGAUGUCGCAACCGUUCGUCGGCGCCGUUCGCGCGGGAGCAGGGUUGGGGAUUCUUGAGGGGCAGAGAUCAAUGAGUGGAUGCCAUGAACCCAACUACGACCCUGAUGACGGUUCGCGAAACACUGAGAGUUGCGAUGAGAGCAUUGCAUCUAGUGAUGAAGAAUCUGUUUCGACGAGGAAGAAGUUAUUAGAAGAUGCUUUAUUUGGUUUUUUAGAAAGGAGGCAAUCAAAUCACUCAAGAUUUUUCAAAAUUCUGCAAGAAUGUCGACCUCGAAACUGAGGAUAAGAGGCAAAAGGUUAUGGGGGCAGGGAGGCAUGUGUUCAGUGUGUUUUCCACAAAAUACUUUGCAGAUAUCUUGAGGCAUAUGUCCAGUGGUUGGAAGGAUAUGAUCUCAGAAUACGGGUUCGAGCCUCUUCUGAAAUUUAAGAAAACUGAUAUCCCGUAAAGAUUUGUCCGCUGGAUUGUCGAAUGUGUAGACACAAUGUCAUCUCAAAUCAUUGUUGCUAAUAAGAAGAUCAUUUCUAUCUCAAAGGAUUCAGUUCAUUGUGUGCUGGGCCUGCCAAACUGUGGUGAUUUAGCGACACAAGACAAGGAUAGUGUGAGGAACUUCAUUUUGCCUCGGUUCAGCUUGACGAAGAUGCCAAACAAUACUUUCUUUGGAGACAUGCUCAUAUCUUCUGAUUUCCUCAGUGAGGAAGACACUUUCAUAUGCUUCAUGGUGAUCGCAAUGUCGUGCUUCCUUUUUCCAUCUUCCAGGGAUCAGAUUCACACUGAGUUUUUGUCCUUGCUUGUUGAUUCAAAGCACACAAGUGGUUUUGAUUUCUAUGCGCUUGUGUAUGAUUGUAUACUUACUGGCAUCAUCAAGUAUGUGAUUUCUGGCAGAGUAACGGGCAGGAUACCAAAGGUGUUUGACUUUUGCUCGUACUGAAUGACGACACAAGCAUUUUCAUAUUAGUGUACGUCCUGGUACAUAUGCACAUAGUCGGAGGCGGCAGACCCGGACUCUGCAGGCUCCCGAUGGAGUGCUCCCGCGGUGCCUUCUUUCACUCGCAAGGACAUUCAGAUGUACCUCCACAUGAGACAUGAUAGAACCACACAGGUAAAUUCUCAUUUUUCUUUGUUCCUCUCGUGAGCUUCAGUUUUUGCUUGUUUCCUAGGAGCAUGAACUAUGCUUGUGGGCGUAGAGAUAAUAUGAUAGUUAUUCUAUUCAAUCCAUGGCCAAUAACAAGUUAUAGUAAAAAUUAAAAAUUAGUGUCUGUCAACUAUGAAAUUGAUUAAAUUGACUUUAGUGCAUAGGGAUAAUUUGAUCACGAUUCAAGCCAUGGCCAAUAACAAGAAAAUCAGUGUCAACUAUAAAUUGAUUAAAUUGGUUUCACUACAAUGGAUAGAACUUUUUAUAUAACAAAUCGAGUAUCUUAAUGAGCGAAUGUGAGGAAUCUUGUUCUGGGGCGACCAGUCCUCUUGUCGCUCAAUCUGCUGCAAGCACGUGCGGUGAUGAUGGGUAGGAAAAGUGGACCGAGCUAUAAAUUUAAAUUUUUCAUAACAAUUUGAUUAAGUUGGCUUCAGUUCAUGGAAGAAGACUUGAUUUUCUCGGUCAUCAUAGUAGAGGUAGAGCUCCCAAUGAUCAGUUGCUGCAGAUCUGAGUUGUACAGUUGGAAAUUGGUGCAGAACAAUUAGCUUAGAACUAUGGGCCAUUGACUUAGGUAUAGGAGAGUUAGUUCAGAACUACGGGCCUCUGAUUUAGGUAUAGGAUAAUAAUUUGUAACCCAUUUAAGUCAUAGCUCAGGAACCCAUUUAAGUCGUAGCUCAUGAACUUUCAGACAGACUAUGCUAGACAUAACUUUAUCUGCAAGUACAUAUGUAUAACUUUCAUUUGAUAAUUGCCUCCAUAGAGGACUGAUAGAAUAGCAAUCGCACGCUAAAUUCUGGAAAGCAUGAUUAACAAGUAACUGGCAAAUAUAGACUGGACACAUGAGAACUUCAGUAACAGCACAUGGUGACGCAUUAGAGAUAUGCAUAUGGGCAAGGCAUUGCGAUGCAUUCAGCGCACGGGGUCUUCCGCUUAGCUGCAAGGUCCGCGUUUCGCUGAGCCCGCAAUGCCUUCCUCUCAUCCGGUGGUAUGCUCUGCCUGCGUGCUCUUCGACGGGCGUUCAUCUCUUGCCUCUGCUCAACUGGUAUAUUUUUACUCGCUGCCCUUCUACGGGCAUUCAUCUCUUGCCUCUCCUUGGUUGUCAGAUUUUGUCUGACAGCCCUUUGGCUUGCAUUCCUAUCUUCAAUAGUUUUAUUUUUUCUAGAUGCUCUUCGACGUGCAUUCACUUCUUCCCUUUGCUCGGGUGUUAGGCUAUCUCUCCUUGCUUUAUCACGGUUCCGUCUUUGUUGAUUUUUGUCUUCUUUAACGCUUGCAUGGGAAGCAAUAUGUUCAGCACCACUCGGUGCUCCUUGAGGUGCUGUAGGGUUUUCUGCAUGGCCAGUGUGUAAUUUGUUAAAUCCAAGACUCACAUUGAAGCAAUAUACCUAGUACAUGGUUAGACUUAAUAAAUCUAGAUGUAUAGAUGACCAUACUUCAAUGGUAGAAACGCCGUGUGAAAGGGUAAUACCAUUUGAUGUUCCCACAUGCUCCUGUGGCUCCAAUGCUGUCAUGGUACCGGCUGUGGGAAGCAUUGUAGCUGAUUGGGUGGACGCUUCACAUAUGAACAUUCUGUAUGACUGUUCCACAACAACAAUUAAGAUUACAAGAUGGUCAGCUUCAAAUCAUCAAUUAAGACAUUAUGUCUCCACAAUUUGUUAGAGAAUACAGGUAGCUUUUUCCCUUAUCAUUCGACAUAUUAUAAGAAAAUGUUGCAUGGAUAAUGAUUAACGACCUUUGAACCUUCACCACUGUGGUUCAUAGACAAAGUAAAAUAGUUGGUGCUACGAUUUCAGGCAGUAAAGAUGCUAUGAGGGAGAAUUCAGACAAAAAGGGCAAAAUAAAAUACUGUAAUAGUAAAUGGUGCCGGGAUAGUUUUUUUUUUGAAACGGGCAAAAGAUUUGCCGCAUAUAUUAAUUAAGAAGGAGAAGAAUGUUUUGUUACAGGCCCCCAACUACAAGGAUUUUACUCUCCUGGAAUGAUGGUCCCUAACUUUUUUGCGCCUGCGGCGACCCAGAGUUUAGCUUCAAGCUUGAUGUUGUUGAGCAAGAUUGUUGGCAGAGAGGACUUGUUGCG